rnacentral:rRNA from 1 species
UACGUAGGGCGCGAGCGUUGUCCGGAAUUAUUGGGCGUAAAGAGCUCGUAGGCGGCCUGUCGCGUCCGCUGUGAAAUCCCGGGGCUUAACCCCGGGCCUGCAGUGGAUACGGGCAGGCUGGAGGCAGGCAGGGGAGACUGGAAUUCCUGGUGUAGCGGUGAAAUGCGCAGAUAUCAGGAGGAACACCAGUGGCGAAGGCGACUAUCUGGGCUGCAACUGACGCUGAGGCGCGAAGGCUAGGGUAGCAAACAGG